rnacentral:rRNA from 1 species
GGGCCCGCACAAGCGGUGGAGCAUGUGGUUUAAUUCGAAGCAACGCGAAGAACCUUACCAGGUCUUGACAUCUAGCGCCAAUCCUAGAGAUAGGACGUUCCCUUCGGGGACGCUAAGACAGGUGGUGCAUGGUUGUCGUUUCAGCUCGUGUCGUGAGAUGUUGGGUUAAGUCCCGCAACGAGCGCAACCCUUAUUAUCAGUUGCCAGCAUUCAGUUGGGCACUCUGGUGAGACUGCCGGUGACAAACCGGAGGAAGGUGGGGAUGACGUCAAAUCAUCAUGCCCCUUAUGACCUGGGCUACACACGUGCUACAAUGGCUAGUACAACGAGUUGCGAGACCGCGAGGUCAAGCUAAUCUCUAAAAGCUAGUCUCAGUUCGGAUUGUAGGCUGCAACUCGCCUACAUGAAGUUGGAAUCGCUAGUAAUCGCGGAUCAGCACGCCGCGGUGAAUACG